AUUGAACGCUGGCGGCAGGCCUAACACAUGCAAGUCGAGCGGAUGACGGGAGCUUGCUCCUUGAUUCAGCGGCGGACGGGUGAGUAAUGCCUAGGAAUCUGCCUGGUAGUGGGGACAACGGUUCGAAAGGAACGCUAAUACCGCAUACGUCCUACGGGAGACAGCAGGGGACCUUCGGGCCUUGCGCUAUAAGAUGAGCCUAGGUCGGAUUAGCUAGUUGGUGGGGUAAUGGCUCACCAAGGCGACGAUCCGUAACUGGUCUGAGAGGAUGAUCAGUCACACUGGACCGGAGACACGGUCCAGACUCCUACGGGAGGCAGCAGUGGGGAAUAUUGGACAAUGGGCGAAAGCCUGAUCCAGCCAUGCCGCGUGUGUGAAGAAGGUCUUCGGAUUGUAGAGCACUUUAAGUUGGGAGGAAGGGCAGUAAGCUAAUACCUUGCUGUUUUGACGUUACCGACAGAAUAAGCACCGGCUAACUCUGUGCCAGCCGCCGCAUAAAAC
rnacentral:rRNA from 1 species